rnacentral:rRNA from 1 species
UACGUAGGGUGCAAGCGUUGUCCGGAAUUAUUGGGCGUAAAGAGCUCGUAGGCGGUUUGUCGCGUCUGCUGUGAAAACGCGGGGGCUCAACUCCGCGCCUGCAGUGGGUACGGGCAGACUAGAGUGCAGUAGGGGAGACUGGAAUUCCUGGUGUAGCGGUGGAAUGCGCAGAUAUCAGGAGGAACACCGGUGGCGAAGGCGGGUCUCUGGGGCUGUAACUGACGCUGGAGGAGCGAAAGCAUGGGGGAGCGAACAGGG